rnacentral:rRNA from 1 species
UACGUAGGGGGCUAGCGUUGUCCGGAAUCAUUGGGCGUAAAGCGCGCGUAGGCGGCCCGGUAAGUCCGCUGUAAAAGUCAAAGGCUCAACCUUUGAAUGUCAGUGGAUACUGCCGGGCUAGAGUCCGGAAGAGGCGAGUGGAACUCCUGGUGUAGCGGUGGAAUGCGCAGAUAUCAGGAGGAACACCUAUUGCGAAGGCAGCUCGCUGGGACGUAACUGACGCUGAGACGCGAAAGCGUGGGGAGCAAACAGG